CCUUCGGGUGGCAGCAGUGAGGAAUAUUGGUCAAUGGGCGCUAGCCUGAACCAGCCAAGUAGCGUGAAGGAUGACUGCCCAAUGGGUUGUAAACUUCUUUUAUAUGGGAAUAAAGUGCAGUAUGUAUACUGCUUUGCAUGUACCUUAUGAAUAAGGAUCGGCUAACUCCGUGCCAGCAGCCGCGGUAAUACGGAGGAUCCGAGCGUUAUCCGGAUUUAUUGGGUUUAAAGGGUGCGUAGGUGGAUUGUUAAGUCAGUUGUGAAAGCUUGCGGCUCAACCGUACAAUUGCAGUUGAUACUGGCAGUCUUGAGUACAGUUGAGGUAGGCGGAAUUCGUGGUGUAGCGGUGAAAUGCUUAGAUAUCACGAAGAACCCCGAUUGCGAAGGCAGCUUACUAAGCUGUGACUGACAUUGAUGCUCGAAAGUGUGGGUAUCAAACAGGAUUAGAUACCCUAGUAGUC
rnacentral:rRNA from 1 species